GACGUAGGAUGCAAGCGUUGUCCGGAAUUAUUGGGCGUAAAGAGUUCGUAGGCGGUUAUCUAAGUCUGGUGUUAAAGCCCGAAGCUCAACUUCGGCAUGGCAUUGGAAACUGGAUGGCUAGAGUGUGGUAGAGGUAUCGGGAAUUCCUGGUGUAGCGGUGAAAUGCGUAGAUAUCAGGAGGAACACCAAUGGCGAAGGCAGCUCGCUGGGACGGUACUGACGCUGAGACGCGAAAGCAUGGGGAGCAAACAGG
rnacentral:rRNA from 1 species